CAGAGGGCAGCUACCCAGCAAUGGGAUGCGAAUCUCGAAAGCCUGUCUCAGUUCGGAUUGGAGGCUGAAACCCGCCUCCAUGAAGUUGGAUUCGCUAGUAAUCGCGCAUCAGCCAUGGCGCGGUGAAUACGUUCCCGGGCCUUGUACACACCGCCCGUCAAGCCAUGGGAGCCGGGGGUGCCUGAAGUUCGUGACCGCAAGGAGCGACCUAGGGCAAAACUGGUGACUGGGGCUAAGUCGUAACAAGGUACC
rnacentral:rRNA from 1 species